GUUGUCGGAUUUACUUCAAUCCAUGUGUGUUGGUGUGGAUUGGGGUGGAAUUUAGUUUAAAUUUUACUCCAAUCCACUUCAAUACAUGUGGAUUGAUGUGAAUCUGACU
rfam:Sorghum bicolor cultivar BTx623 chromosome 9, whole genome shotgun sequence.